rnacentral:rRNA from 1 species
ACAGCUCACUAGUCGAGCGGUCCGGCAUGGAUAAUAAUCGGGCAUAAGCAUAUUACCGAAGCUAUGGGAUGUAUUAAAUACAUCGGUAGGAGAGCAUUCUAUCGGCGCAGAAGCAGUAUCGUGAGGUAUUGUGGAGCUUAUAGAAAAGAAAAUGUAGGCAUAAGUAACGAUAAAGGGGGCGAGAAACCCCCUCACCGAAAGACUAAGGUUUCCUCAGCCAUGCUAAUCAGCUGAGGGUUAGUCGGGACCUAACGCGAACCCGAAAGGGGAAGUGGAUGGACAAUGGGUUAAUAUUCCCAUACUUGCUCACACUAAAAAGGGGACGGAUUGCCG